ACUUUGGAUUUUAGCUCUUUGGAAUUGUUAGAAGCCUCUUAGCAAAAUUUUUUCACUUGGAAUCAAUCAAAAUUAUCAUUUGGGAGCUGGUUGCAUUGGCCUCAUUUUCAAAUUCCCAAUAUUUCUCCUUUUGGACGAUUUUGCCCCUCCUUCUAAUUAAUUCACUUCAAAAAUGGCCUUUUGCAUUGAGCCUUUUCCAAGAAAUCCGAUUAUGCAACCUUGAAGUACACAUUAAAUGGAGUUUGUGCAUAUAACGAACUUGCAAUUCGGAUACACCAUGUGGU
rnacentral:lncRNA from 1 species